UACGGGGGGGGCAAGCGUUGUUCGGAAUUACUGGGCGUAAAGGGCGCGUAGGCGGCCUGCUAAGUCACACGUGAAAUCCCUCGGCUCAACCGGGGAACUGCGUGUGAUACUGGCGGGCUUGAAUUCGGGAGAGGGAUGUGGAGUUCCAGGUGUAGCGGUGAAAUGCGUAGAGAUGUGGAGGAACACCAGUGGCGAAGGCGACUCUUUGGUCUGUAACUGACGCUGAGGCGCGAAAAGCGUGGGGGAGCAAACAGG
rnacentral:rRNA from 1 species